rnacentral:lncRNA from 1 species
CCAAAUCAUCUAAGUACUUAGACCAAAUCAUAAUGAUCUCAACAAGAGUAUAGGCAAGUUCUAGUAAAAUACCAAGUUGGGAUGUCCAAAACACACAAGAAUAAAAUCAUGCUAUUAUGGGCAUAUUAGCAUUUAAAGCUCAAAACUCACAAGGUAUGCUCAAAGUCUCAAUUCCGUCAUACUCACUAUCCUAAGACAUGCUCAAACAAUCAACUCAAAUCAUCCACAACAACAAAUUCAUCCAUCAUACCCAAUCAACUCAUCAUUCCUAAUCAUGUCGGCUAGACCAAAAACACGAAACAAAAAAAAAAAACGUAGAGGCUUCCACACUCACACACUUUGCUCUGGGCAAAGUGCGUCAAUGUUGAGGUCCCAAACCGACGGACACAGAAAAACUACACGGAAUGCCUCCCCACUCACACACUUUGCCUUAGCCAAAGUGAGUCAAAAAGGAGGUAGACACAAACCAAAGCUAAAACAAAAAUAAAAACUACAUAC